GAGUAGGUACUGUUACAAUAUAACUGAGGAGUCUUACUGUCAUUCCCCCUGCUUAAAGCAUUUGAUACACAGCUAUCUCUAACUCCUUUUAACAGUAAGACAGAGACUUUUGGUCUCAAACAU
rnacentral:snoRNA from 1 species